GCACGGAGGGCACCAAGGCCGGCGCGGUGUGGGGCGCAGCCUUCGCCAACCCCAGCUUUGAGGACGCGGCGCAGUGCUGACGCCGCUGCCCCCACGGCCCUUUUCUGUGCUGCUGUAUUUAAAGAGGUUUUCUCAGAGAUGAUGGGUUUGUGGGGGUUUUGGGGGGUUUUGUGUCUGAUUACCUGGGCGUGGGCACCGUGGGGCCACCAUGUGGGUACUGGGAUGGACAGCUUGGGGACAAAGCUGUGUGGGACACACGGACGGACAUCCUGACACACGGACAUGUUGGGGACAAAAGCACAUGGGACCCAUAAAAGGACAGCGUGGGGACAGGGACACGGGGGACACUGGAUGGCAUCCUGGGGACAAAGCUGUGUGGACACCUAUGGGCAUCUUGGGGACGGGGACACACAGACACCUUGGGGACAAGGUAGUGUGGGACCCAUAAAAGGACAUCUUGGGGACAGGGACACAGGGACACAUGGAUGGCAUCCUGGGGACAGGAUGACAUGGGACACGUAGGGCACAUGGAUGGACACCUUGGGGACAAAGCUGUGUGGGACACACGGACACCCUGGGGACAGGAGCAUGUGGGACACACGGACGGACGUCUCGGGGAUGGGGACACAUUGGGGACAUGGAUGGACGUCCUGGGGACAGGGACACACAGACACCUUGGGGACAAGGCAGUAUUGGGACCCAUAGAGGGACACCUUGGGGACAGGGACACAGAGGACACACGGACACCUUGGGGACAAAGCUGUGUGGGACCCAGAGAGGGACACCUUGGGGACAGGGACACCUUGGGGACACCUUGGGGACAGGGACACAGAGGACACACGGACACCUUGGGGACAAAGCUGUGUGGGACACAUGGACACCUUGGGACAGGAUGACAUGGGACACGUGGGCAUCAUGGGGACAGGGACAUGUGGGACACACGGACACCUUGGGGACACACGGAUGGACGUCCUGGGACCAGGACCCCAAAGGACGCACAUCACAUCUGCAGUGGGAUGGGAUCCUGUGAGCCCACGGGGUGAAUGGGGACGGUGGGGGGGGACCCCAUGGGACUGAGACCCCAAAGGGCACCGACCCCAGUGGGGAUGGGAUCCUAUGGGAUCAGGACCCCAAAGCUGUAAGGGAACGGCAGGGGUGGGUCUCUAUGGGAUCAGGACCCCAAAGGGCUCAAUGGGGUCAGGUCCAUAUGGGAUUGAGACCCCACAGGACAUAUGGGAAUGGCAGGGAUGGGUCUCCAUGGGAUCGAGACCCCAAAGGGAAAACAUCCACAGUGGGGAUGGGAUCCUAUGAGAUCAGGACCCCAUGGGGCAAAUGGGAUGACAGGGAUGGGUCUCUAUGGGAUUGAGACCCCACAGGACAUAUGGGAACAGCGGGGAUGGGUCUCCAUGGGAUUGAGACCCCAAGUGGCUCAGUGGGGUCAGGUCCAUAUGGGAUGAAGACCCCACAGGACAUAUGGGAACAGCGGGGAUGGGUCUCCAUGGGAUCAGGACCCCAAAGGGCUCAAUGGGGUCAGGUCCAUAUGGGAUGAAGACCCCACAGGACAUAUGGGAACGGUGGGGGUGGGUCUCCACGGGAUUGAGACCCCAAAGGGAAAACAUCCACAGUGGGGAUGGGAUCCUAUGGGAUCAGGACCCCAAGGCUGAAAGGGAACGGCAGGGAUGGGUCUCUAUGGGAUCAGGACCCCAAGUGGCUCAGUGGGGUCAGGUCCAUAUGGGAUGAAGACCCCACAGGACAUAUGGGAACGGCGGGGAUAGGUCU
ensembl:lncRNA